UACGUAGGGGGCAAGCGUUGUCCGGAUUUAUUGGGCGUAAAGAGCGUGUAGGCGGCUUGCUAAGUCUUGCGUGAAAUCUCGGGGCUCAACCCCGAGCGGUCGUGAGAAACUGGCAGGCUAGAGUGCGGGAGAGGAGAGUGGAAUUCCUGGUGUAGCGGUGAAAUGCGCAGAUAUCAGGAAGAACACCCGUGGCGAAGGCGGCUCUCUGGAACGCAACUGACGCUGAGACGCGAAAGCGUGGGGAGCAAACAGG
rnacentral:rRNA from 1 species